AGAGCCAUAUGGGACUCAACAUCUUUGGAUAUAUUUGUAAGGCUUUCACAAAGAAGACUUUUUAGACAUCUCAGAUUUCACCGAUUGGAGGGCAAUCUGGAUGAAUAUCUUUUUUUGGAAAAGAUGAACUAUCGUUUUCACAUGUAGUCUCCAAUUUCAGUAUUCCUUGAGAAGCUCAAAACAACAACAACAACAACAACAAAACAAAACAGGAAAGCGUUAAGUAAGUCUCAGCUUAUUAGCUUUUACUGGAAAAUAAAGACCAUGAUUCUUAGAUCUGGUUCAGAAUGCCAAGUGAAUCUUUGAUGUUGAAAUUUGGCCACCUAAUCUUUGCAGUUUGUGAUGGGGCAUUUAUGAAAGAGAAGGUGGGUUCUAAGUCUCAACAUAUUUGUGCACUUUUUGCUAGUUCGGUCUUGGUCAUAUGUCAGUGGAUUCUUGGGACGCUUUCUGCAGCAUAGCUAACUGAUUAACAUGAUGAUACUUUUUAUAUUUACUCAAGAUUAUUUCUUUGUUCACUCCUGAUUUUCCAUAAUUUUCUGAUCAUUAGGGAUCUAUCUUAAUGCAAAGUAUUCUUGAAGAUGUUAAUAUAAAUUAAUCUUUUAAAAAAACAAAUCUCAUAUUUUUCCACUGAUCUGUUAAUUUAGAUAUUAAAAAAACAGAUUGACCUUCAUUUGGCAAUUGUUGUUAAUACUUUAAUUUUUGGUUCACAGAUUUUGUUUAGUGGGCUAUAAAUGGCCUAUAAACAAAUAUUUCAGUGUUUACUAAUUAAAAAUCAGUAUUUUUUUUAAGCAUAGAGUGCUAUUGUGUUAUGAGACAGGCAACCACUAAUUCUGUUAGGUUUUCAACUUUUUAUUUUCUUAGUUCUCUAGUCUUUUUUUUUUUUUUUUUGGCACUCUUCAUGCAGUAUGGUAAGCCUGGUUAAGUCAGAAUAUUUACAAGUAGUAAAUAUUACUGUGACAGUUGCUACUUACCUAUACAAAGUCUAUGUAAACAUCGUAAGGAUGAUAAUUUUAAUUUGUAAAUUGUUAUGGUAAACUGGAAAUUACUUGAAAUAACUCUUGCUCAUCUUUAAAUACCAUUUUAUUGCAUCUAACAUUAUUUUACUAUCCUUUAUUAAAAAAACUUUUAACACUUUAUUAGCUAAUAGUGCUUAUAUUAGCAAGUUUUAGUUUUCACAGACAAUAUCCACUAAACUUUGUUCAGUUAUGAGCAUGUUGAAUAAUACUAAAUUAAAACAAAAUACAGUAUAUUCUUGGUUACCAUUUACAUUUUAUAUUAAUACCAAUGUCAUAUAUUUUAAUGCUAUUUCAAAAAUAUUUAGAAACCCUCUCUCUGCUCCCUACCAUUUCUUCUCCAAUAUAUAUCCUACUCUACAGAGAGAGCACUUAGGAAUUUGUUAUGUAGCCCAUCUCUAUCAUGCACACCUAUAUUGCUAUGGGUCAUUGACCCCUAUGCUAUAGGCCAAUGAGCCUGCUGGACAAUAGGUAGAAAAUUGGAAUUAUAGCAUGAGCUAUAAUUAUAGCUUAACUGCUUAAAUCAACUUAACAUGAAUUGUGCUGAAUGGCUGAAUAUAUUCUUUCUAUAUUUAUUUUGUAGUCAAAUGUUCUAAAAUAACUUUCUAUAAAAAGUAUAAUACUCUUAGGUUUAAGUUUUAUUAUUCACCUUUGUUUACAAACAUAGGUAUUGUAAUCCAAUGAGGGUAAGUGUUUUCAUCACUGAAAAUUUCAUUAUGGAAUACAGACUUUUUUGGUAUUUUCUUUGUGAAACAGUAUAGUUUGAUGGCAACAAGGAAAUUAAAGAUGGCAGAAAGACUAUAUAGAUAUAGUGGUAUCUAAUAAGACUUUGGAUUUAUAAACUCUAGGCUGUGAGGAGAAGAUGGGCACAUGGAUUGAAAAAGAAAAUGUGGAUGCGAUGAUCAAUGGUUAUUCUUUAAUAAUAUUCCUAAUGAAGGACAUAUGAUGAGGCAAAGAAGAAUACAAAUUGAUGGAGUAUAUGUAUGAAUGAUAAAAUAGUUGUAUGCUGAGAGAAGGAGAUUGUGAAGCAAAGAGAUAAGAGUUAUAUGUAGCUUUGUGGCUAUAAUUGCCUUGGUUUUUGCAUUUACCUUGAGUUUCCAUUGUAGGUAUUAAUGGCUCCUGUAUAUAAUGUUCUUAGUAUAAGUAGAAUCCAUAAAGCAUUUGGUUUGAGCAGGAAUAUUUAUUUGCUUGUGAGGAUAGACCUGUUUGACUUUGAAAUGUAGUGUGCUAUUACCUUAUGGUCAGAGUAAAGUUUAUAUUGUUUUUAUUCAAAUUACAAUAUGAGUAUAUUUAAGAGGAGCAGAUAUGUGUGUGUUUGUGCAUGUGUGUGCAUGUACACACAUGUAAGGAAGGACAUUUUCAUUUCUGUAUAUUUCUCCUGUGUUUGCUGCUUUUUGCUUGCCAGUUUUUCUUUGUCUCUAUCAUUUUAUCACUGAAACCAUCUGUGUAGAAAAUAGUAUGCUUGGUUUUAUCAUUUUAAAUUGUUUUCUAUUUUUGUUAUUUUGUCCUCCCAACUUGUUUUCACCUUAAGUAUUCAGGCUCAAGUAUAAGGCAUUUUAGUUUUCACAUUCAAGAGGUGUUUCUGCUUUCUUUCCCGUCCGUUUGUCCAUAUGUUUACUGGUUUCUGAUAGGCUGUGCAGUGAGACAGCAGUUUACUAUCUGUGUGUGUGUGAAAUUAGCUAAUUGGUGUUAGCAGAAAUAUUUUCACAUGUUUUAUAAGCAAAGUGCAGCAAGGUAUAUAAAUGUAGAUAUGAUCCAGACACGCGCACACUCACGACUGUCACUGCUCAUGCAUAGGCGCUCAGAAGUAAUUAAUGUUAAUAAGAUUUUAAUGUGCUUGUGAGAUCAUAAUGAGGAGAAAUGAAUGCUCUGAUUAGGAAAAGGUAACUGUGUGUGUGUUUUGGCUUAGAACAAGAUUUCAAUUUUUAUAAACCGCAAUUUUAGAACUUGUUUGUGAUUGCAUCAAUUGGUUUUUAUUUUCAAAUUAGAGGUCUGUUUAGCCAUUUGAAUGAUUAACCAAAUAAAUGGGUGAAACCCUGAUCAUAAGGAAUAGUGCAGGUUUUUCAUUUGCAAGGCAGUGUUAGUAUACAGCAAGGCUGUGAUGUCUUUUGCCAAUGUGCCAUUUUAAUGUUGUUUUUUUAAAAGAAGCUUUUCCAGAAGCCACUUGUGAAUAUAGUAUUUAUUUUUAUAAAUGUAGAUGCUAUCUAUACGUUCCAGAGACACCAAUCAGACACUGUAACUAUUGUGUCUGAGAUACAUUCCUGCCAGUCAGUGAUGGUGUAUUCCGUGUCUAAAGAAUCUAUAUCAUGCUUCUCAAAAUGUUUAUUUGGAAAUGUAGCACUACCAAUAUUUUUAUUCAUAAAUAUAAUCUUUACAAAUUUUAGAAGCUUGAUAUAUUUUAUGGUGAAGUCAAACAUUUCAAGGAGUUCUUCAUGUAUUUUGGAUAUUAACCCCUUAUCAGAUAUAUCAGGGAAUUCACCCCUGCUCGCCACGCCCCAGGCUGCAGACCAGUAAUGGUCCCUGGCCUGUUAGGAACUGGACUGCCCAGCAGGAGGUGAGUGUCCGGCCAGUGAGCAUUACCGCCUGAGCUCUGCAUCCAGUCAGAUCAGCAGUGGCAUGAGAUUCUCAUGGGAGUGUGAACCCUAUUGCGAACUGUGCAUGCAAGGGAUCUAGAUUGUGGACUUCUUAUAAGGCUCUAACUAAUGCUUGAGGAUCUGAGAGGGAACAGUUUCAUCCCAAAACCAUCCUCCUGUCCUUGGAUAAAUUGUCUUCCACAAAACCAGUUCCUGGUGCCAGAAAGGUUGGGAAUCACUGAGAUAUAAGGAAUUGAAAUCGGGAUCUCAAAAAGAUUAGCAAUGACCAAGAUGUGGAAACAACCUAAAUGUCCUUCUAUGGAUGAAUGGAUAAGGAAAAUGGUAUAUAUACACAGUGGAAUAUUAUUCAGUCUUUAAAAAAGAGGAAAUACUGCAAUGAGACAACAUGGCUAAAACUUGAGGACACUGUGCUAAUUGAAAUGAGCCAGUCAUAGAAAGACAGAUACUACAUGAUUCCACUUAUAUGAAGUAUCUAAAAUAAUUAAAUUCAUAGAAUCAAGGAAUAGAAUGAUGGUGGUUGCCAAGGGCUGAAGGAAAGGGAAAAUGGGAAGUUACUAAUUAAUGGACAUAAAGUUUCAGUUAAGCAGAUGAAUAAGUUCUAGAGAUCUUCUGUAUAGCAUUGUACCUGUAGUCAACAAUACUGCACACUUAAAAAUAUUGUACUAUUAAGAUUUGCUAAGAGGGUAGAUCUCAUUUUAAGUGUUCUUACUAACAUAAAAUAAUGUAGUAAGGCUUCAAUAAAUGUUAAUUCACAUUAAAAUUAUUAUUAAAUAUAGCAGGAAAGUUAAUGUUAUAUAACCGUAAACACAAAGUAAUACAGUAUUUAGAGGAUGGUAAUAUCUUUACUGUGACUGGGAACAGUUGGGAUCGGGGAGAUUCACUGAAUGCAUUAGUAUUUAAAUUUUGAAGUAUGAUUUCUAUAGUGUAAAAGAAAAAAUAAAAAGGUAGAGUUCUCAUUUCAGUUUCUUACAUGAACUAUUUGUUACUCCUGUUAUAGAAAAUGACACUGAUAAUGACUGACAUUUAUUGAAUCACCCCUUGUGCUUAUAACUAAACUGUGAGGUAAAUAUUAUCUUAUUAUUCUUCACAACAAUCUCAUAAGACAGAUAUUAUUUUCAUUUGACCAAUGAGGAAUCUAAGGCUAAAUGAGAUUAAAUAACUUCCACAAAGUCACGCAUCUGGUUAUGCAGAGUUCAUAUGAGUCAUUGAUGUAAUUGGUAGAAAUGAUUGCCAAGUCUAUUGUGUGUACUGUUAAGGGCAAUGAAAAGAGCCUUUCACGUUUAUCCUGUAAACAGAGGAAGGUGAGCUUUUUGGAACAGUAGUGGAGAAGGGCCAGAGAGGGAGAGCCAGUGUUCUUUUUAGAUUGCUAUGAAUGAGUGAACUUAAUCAGAAAAGGCCGAUGCCCC
rnacentral:lncRNA from 1 species